GCACCUAUAGCUCAGUAGGAUAGAGCAACGGUUUCCUAAACCGUGUGUCGGACGUUCGAGUCGUCUUAGGUGCGCCA
rnacentral:tRNA from 1 species